AAGUGUGAUCAUACCAAUGUUAAUGCAUCAGAUCCCAUCACAAAUUAGCAGUUAAGUGCACUUGGUCUAGCGAAGUACUGCGAUGGGUGACCUCCCGGGAAGUCCUAGUGUUGCACCCU
rnacentral:rRNA from 1 species